GAUGAACGCUGGCGGCGUGCCUAAUACAUGCAAGUCGAGCGAACAGACGAGGAGCUUGCUCCUCUGACGUUAGCGGCGGACGGGUGAGUAACACGUGGAUAACCUACCUAUAAGACUGGGAUAACUUCGGGAAACCGGAGCUAAUACCGGAUAAUAUAUUGAACCGCAUGGUUCAAUAGUGAAAGACGGUUUUGCUGUCACUUAUAGAUGGAUCCGCGCCGCAUUAGCUAGUUGGUAAGGUAACGGCUUACCAAGGCAACGAUGCGUAGCCGACCUGAGAGGGUGAUCGGCCACGCUGGAACUGAGCAACGGUCCAGACUCGUACGGGAGGCAGCAGUAGGGAAUCGUCCGCAAUGGGCGAAAGCUUGACGGAGCAACGACGCGUGAGUGAUGAAGGUCUUCGGAUCGUAAAACUCUGUUAUUGGGGAAGAACAAAUGUGUAAGUAACUAUGCACGUCUUGACGGUACCUAAUCAGAAAGCCACGGCUAACUACGUG
rnacentral:rRNA from 1 species